UCAAAUAACUUGUCUUAACACUAGUGCAGUCUAGCCUCAUCCAGAGAAGAUUUAAGAUUAUCUAGUCUAGGCAGAGUCUUGUAGUAGCUGAAGUGAAAAACUAGUUUAAAAGAAAGCCAAGGCUCCCUUACAAAUGAAGUGGCCAAUUAGCUGAGGUGAAAAGGAAAAGUCUUCCUAAGUGUUUUUUUUCCACUAACUUAUCAUUUUCAAGUCAUUAUCAGGACAAGCAGAAGUUACUCCAUUCUCCUUUUGAUGAAUGGGAGUUGUCACUGCAAUUAUUUGGCUUUAUGUGGGUUGCCCAGGAUGCUCGAGGGUUCAUAGCAGUAUCAGUUAGAGCCAGCAUCUGAUGGAAAACUUCAAGACCAGCUCUAAAUCCAUUCCUUUCUUUGGGGCCCCACUCAUUCUGAAUGACAAUGAGAUGACUUUCCAAACUUGUUAGAGCCAUGCUGUCAAUAAAAAUGUCACCAGCAGGAGAGAACGCCUCAUCAAGACUUCAGUGUUGCCUCAUUUGUAAAGGGAGUUGCUAGACGCCUUGGAAACGACACCUGUCAGGUACUGCUUUUCUUUCAAAAAAUGAGACUCUCCCUGGGGCAUUUUCCAGCUGCUUUUUACCUCCUUCACUGAAGACUUGCCGAGGAAGCUUAUAUUUAGGCUGUAACUCACUCUUAUCUGGCUUUGUUUUCCUGUCUCUAGGACAGAAGGGAGUAAUCAGCUUGGAUCUUGGAGAAAUUCCAAGUUAAUACCAAAAAAGCAAUCUACCAAUUCAAACCGCUGGUACAGUACAGGAAAUGCGGAAGAAGAGUGGUUGACUUUCUUCCUUCAUGUUUUGAAGUAAACUCCACUUUUAUUUUGCUAACGUACAAUCAGAUCCUGUGUCCUAAAUCUGUGUAUUCAUUUUGAACUCCUUUUCAGAAGAAAGGAGUUCAGUUCUAGAAACACCUAGAAACUCAAUGUGUUUCUCAUUUAUUUUUCAGUAUCUAGAACCGAACUAAACCCGUGAAUCAUUCAACAAACAUUUACUGGAUACUGAUUAAGUGCAAGACACCUGUGGAGAGUUCGAGAUGGCUGCGAAUACUUGUACCUACCUUCCAUUGAGAAGCAGGAUCUUUGCUCCUAUCCUUGAAUCUGGGCAGGCUUUGGAACUGCUUUGACCAAUAGAAUAUGGCAGAAAUGUUGCUGUACCAGUUUUGAGGCCCAGACCUCCAAGAAACAAACAACUUGAGGUCUCCAACUUCCUGUCUCUUAGGAUGCUCUCUCUGGGAGCUUUGAGCUGUCACAUAAGAAGUCCAACACAUUGGCGAGGCCCUGUGCAGGCAAUCUGGUCAACAGUCCCAGCUGAGCCCAGGCUCCUAGCCAGCCCUGCCAAGGUGCCAGACAUGAGUGAGGCCGCCUGGAACCCUCCAGGUGAACCCACAAUAGAUGAACAUCAUCACUGUGUGGAAAGAAGACUCACCCAGCUGAGCCCAGCCCAUAUUUCCAAUCCACAAAAUCAUGAGAUGUAACAACAGCCAUUUUAAGUCACCUAACAAUCCCAAGUUAGAAUAAACGUUCUGCUAAAAUCUGAACUCCAGUGUGCUUUAAGAGGCUGAAGUGGCAAACGAGCUGGUGUGGGUAAGGUGCACCCCACGGGGUGUGGCGUGCAGUACUCACUCAGGGAGAGGAGCUCUUUUCAGUGUUACUGGAGUGUUCCAAUGCUCCUCUUGGCUUUCAGCUUUUGCCUCUUGAUUCCUUCUCCACACCCCUGCCAGAACCAACUUACCCAAGCAUAGUCAUGUGUGUAAUAGCACAGAUAUCACCCAUUGUCCCUCAGUAUCAAAUUCUGUCUUCUUCCUCAGUAAGAGGACUUUGAAUACAAAUUAGAUAUAUGGAGGUACAGACUGAAGACUACACUUUCCAGCCUCCCAUGCAGCUGGAGGGGACCAUACAACCGAGUUUUGGCCAAAGGUUGGCUGGUACUAAUGAGGAAGAGUGGAGGAUCACAUAGCAUUUGCUGACAAGGUUUGAAAGUGGCAUCUUUCGCUACUCUCCGUAUCCCAUUGACCAGAUUAACAUGGCUACAACCCAGGACAAGGAAGAAAAAUAGUGGAAUAGGGGAAUCUAGCCAGUCUUGGCCACAUCGCCCAAAUUUUUCAUGGGAGUGAGGAAAGAACAUGGUUCGGAUAGAUGUGCCAGAGGAAAUGCACCAGGAAAUCCUGAGCAGGGUGCAAUCAGUCACCAUUAAUGCUCACAAGUGUCAAAGCUACUUGGAGAAAUACAGCUACUUAUGGAUGGACGAUAAAAUUGAAUUCAUGAAGCAGUUCCUUCUCCAUGAGCGAUUUCUUAGUGCUGAAGAACUAGAAUUGCAGGCGGACUGUGAGUGUCAGAACUCCACACUGCAGUUAGCACACUUUACAGAACAGGUAUUGAAUUUCAGCUGAGUCUAGCAUUAUCUUU